GUGGGGAAUAUUGGGCAAUGGGCGAAAGCCUGACCCAGCAACGCCGCGUGAAGGAAGAAGGUUUUCGGAUCGUAAACUUCUAUCCUUGGUGAAGAUAAUGACGGUAGCCAAGAAGGAAGCCCCGGCUAACUACGUGCCAGCAGCCGCGGUAAUACGUAGGGGGCAAGCGUUGUCCGGAAUGAUUGGGCGUAAAGGGCGCGUAGGCGGCCCGGUAAGUCUGAAGUGAAAGUCCUGCUUUUAAGGUGGGAAUUGCUUUGGAUACUGUCGGGCUUGAGUGCAGGAGAGGUAAGUGGAAUUCCCGGUGUAGCGGUGAAAUGCGUAGAGAUCGGGAGGAACACCAGUGGCGAAGGCGACUUACUGGACUGUAACUGACGCUGAGGCGCGAAAGUGUGGGGAGCAAACAGGAUUAGAUACCCUGUAGUCC
rnacentral:rRNA from 1 species